rnacentral:rRNA from 1 species
AGUCGUACGAGACGUUUCAGCUUGCUGAAACUAGUAAAGUGGCGCACGGGUGAGUAACGCGUGGGUAAUCUACCUCCGAAUUGGGGAUAACACUGCGAAAGCGAUGCUAAUACCGGAUAAUAUCUCAAUCACUUCGGUUUUUGAGAUCAAAGGUGGCCUCUCCUUGGAAGCUUCUGUUUGGAGAUGAGCCCGCGUACCAUUAGCUUGUUGGUAGGGUAAUGGCCUACCAAGGCAACGAUGGUUAGCUGGUCUGAGAGGAUGAUCAGCCACACUGGAACUGACACACGGUCCAGACUCCUACGGGAGGCAGCAGUGAGGAAUUUUGCGCAAUGGGGGAAACCCUGACGCAGCAACGCCGCGUGAGUGAUGAAGGCUUUCGGGUCGUAAAGCUCUGUCAAGUGGGAAGAACCUGCCCUUUGCUAAUAUCACUGGGCACUGACGGUACCACUGAAGGAAGCACCGGCUAACUCCGUGCCAGCAGCCGCGGUAACACGGGGGGUGCAAGCGUUAUUCGGAAUCACUGGGCGUAAAGAGCGCGUAGGCGGUCUUUUAAGUCAGAUGUGAAAGCCCGGGGCUCAACCCCGGAAGUGCAUUUGAAACUAAGGGACUUGAGUAUGGGAGAGGGAAGUGGAAUUCCUGGUGUAGCGGUGAAAUGCGUAGAUAU